rnacentral:rRNA from 1 species
UAAAUAAGCGGAGGACCAGAAACUAAACAGGAUUCCCCCAGUAAUGGCGAAUGAACAGGGAUGAGCUCAGAAUGAAAAUCGAGGCCUUCUGGCCUUGAACUGUAGUUUCGAGAUGUACAACCAACAGAGGUGCAGUUGAAAGUCUCUUGGAAAAGAGCACCAGAGAGGGUGAGAGUCCCGCGUGUCAUCUGCAGCCCCCCUGUGUACGGUGUGCUCUCUUAGAAUCACAUUCCUUGGUAUUGGAGCGCAAAGUGGGUGGUAAAUUUCAUCUGAAGCUGAAUAUUGGUUUGAGACCGAUAGUGAACAAGUACCAUGAGGGAAAGAUGAAAAGGACUUUGAAAAGAGAGUUAAAAGUGCCUGAAAUUGCUGAAUUGGAAGCGAACGAAACCAAUGCGGUUUGGUGAGAUUGCUGUGUGGCAGUGUGACUGCCUGCUGCCUCGGCGCAAGUGUGGCGGUUCGUUUGAUCGCUGUGCCCGCAGUGUUUCUCGCCUUGCCAGUCAGCGCAAACUUGUACGCGAGGGCACCGAGGGUGACAUGGUAGCCCGCCCGCGGGCUUGUGAACGUUCCCUCCUGAACUCGCGCAUGUGCUGUGCGUUGACAAAAUGGUUCCUCUCGGCCCGUCUUGAAACACGGACCAAGG